rnacentral:rRNA from 1 species
AGUGGGGAAUAUUGGACAAUGGGCGAAAGCCUGAUCCAGCCAUGCCGCGUGUGUGAAGAAGGCCUUCGGGUUGUAAAGCUCUGUUGUAAGGGAAGAAGAGAUCAUAGAGGGAAUGCUAUGAUUGUGACGGUACCUUACCAGAAAGCCACGGCUAACUACGUGCCAGCAGCCGCGGUAAUACGUAGGUGGCGAGCGUUAUCCGGAAUUAUUGGGCGUAAAGGGUGCGUAGGCGGCACAUUAAGUCUAAGGUUAAAGUUCGAGGCUCAACUUCGGAUUGCCUUAGAAACUGGUGAGCUAGAGUGCAGGAGAGGGCAAUGGAAUUCCAUGUGUAGCGGUAAAAUGCGUAGAUAUAUGGAGGAACACCAGUGGCGAAGGCGGUUGCCUGGCCUGUAACUGACGCUGAGGCACGAAAGCGUGGGGAGCAAAUAGGAUUAGAUACCCUAGUAGUCCACGCUGUAAACGAUGAUUACUAAGUGUUGGAGAAAUUCAGUGCUGCAGUUAACGCAAUAAGUAAUCCGCCUGGGGAGUAUGCACGCGAGUGUG